AAUUUUGGACAAUGGGGGAAACCCUGAUCCAGCCAUCCCGCGAGUAUGAUGAAGGCCUUCGGGUUGUAAAGUACUUUUGGCAGAGAAGAAAAGGUACCUCCUAAUACGAGGUACUGCUGACGGUAUCUGCAGCAUAAGUACCGCCUAACUACUUGCCAUCAGCCCCGGUAAUCCGUAGGGUUCAAUCGUUAAUCGGAAUUACUUGGCGUAACGCGUGUGUAGGCGGUUCGGAAAGAAAGAUGUGAAAUCCCAGGGCUCAUCCUUGGAACUGCAUUUUUAACUGCCGAGCUAGAGUAUGUCAGAGGGGGGUAGAAUUCCACGUGUAGCAGUGAAAUGCGUAGAUAUGUGGAGGAAUACCGAUGGCGAAGGCAGCCCCCUGGGAUAAUACUGACGCUCAGACACGAAAGCGUGGGGAGCAAACA
rnacentral:rRNA from 1 species